rnacentral:rRNA from 1 species
UGGGGAAUAUUGCACAAUGGGCGAAAGCCUGAUGCAGCAACGCCGCGUGAGUGAUGAAGGCCUUCGGGUUGUAAAGCUCUGUCUUUUGGGACGAUAAUGAUGGUACCAAAGGAGGAAGCCACGGCUAACUACGUGCCAGCAGCCGCGGUAAUACGUAGGUGGCAAGCGUUGUCCGGAUUUACUGGGCGUAAAGGAUGCGUAGGCGGAUUUUUAAGUGAGAUGUGAAAACCCUAAGCUUAACUUGGGGACUGCAUUUCAUACUGGAAAUCUAGAGUGCGGGAGAGGAGAAUGGAAUUCCUAGUGUAGCGGUGAAAUGCGUAGAGAUUAGGAAGAACACCAGUGGCGAAGGCGAUUCUCUGGACCGUAACUGGCGCUGAGGCAUGAAAGCGUGGGUAGCAAACAGGAUUAGAUACCCUGGUAGUCCACGCCGUAAACGAUGAGUACUAGGUGUAGGAGGUAUCGACCCCUUCUGUGCCGCAGUUAACACAAUAAGUACUCCGCCUGGGAAGUACGAUCGCAAGAUUAAAACUCAAAGGAAUUGACGGGGUCAUAGCUGUUUCCU